rnacentral:rRNA from 1 species
UGGGGAAUAUUGCGCAAUGGGGGAAACCCUGACGCAGCGAUGCCGCGUGGGUGAAGAAGGCCUUCGGGUUGUAAAGCCCUUUCAGUGGGGAAGAUAAUGACGGUACCCACAGAAGAAGCUCCGGCUAACUCCGUGCCAGCAGCCGCGGUAAUACGGAGGGGGCGAGCGUUGUUCGGAAUUACUGGGCGUAAAGGGCGCGUAGGCGGUUUCACAAGUCAGGAGUGAAAAUCUCGGGCUCAACCCGGGACGUGCUUUUGAAACUGUGGGACUAGAGACAGGCAGAGGGUGGUGGAAUUCCCCGUGUAGAGGUGAAAUUCGUAGAUAUGGGGAGGAAGACCGGAGGCGAAGGCGGCCACCUGGACCUGCACUGACGCUGAGGCGCGAAAGCGUGGGGAGCAAACAGG